UACGUAGGGGGCAAGCGUUGUCCGGAAUCAUUGGGCGUAAAGAGCGUGUAGGCGGUCCGGUAAGUCCGUUGUGAAAGUCAGGGGCUCAACCCUCGGAUGCCGGUGGAUACUGUCGGACUAGAGUACGGAAGAGGCGAGUGGAAUUCCUGGUGUAGCGGUGAAAUGCGCAGAUAUCAGGAAGAACACCAAUGGCGAAGGCAGCUCUCUGGGACGGUACUGACGCUGAGACGCGAAAGCGUGGGGAGCGAACAGG
rnacentral:rRNA from 1 species